rnacentral:rRNA from 1 species
GACGAACGCUGGCGGCGUGCUUAACACAUGCGAGUCGAACGGAAAGGCCCUGCUUUUGUGGGGUGCUCGAGUGGCGAACGGGUGAGUAACACGUGAGUAACCUGCCCUUGACUUUGGGAUAACUUCAGGAAACUGGGGCUAAUACCGGAUAGGAGCUCCUGCUGCAUGGUGGGGGUUGGAAAGUUUCGGCGGUUGGGGAUGGACUCGCGGCUUAUCAGCUUGUUGGUGGGGUAGUGGCUUACCAAGGCUUUGACGGGUAGCCGGCCUGAGAGGGUGACCGGCCAAAUUGGGACUGAGAUACGGCCCAGACUCCUACGGGAGGCAGCAGUGGGGAAUAUUGCACAAUGGGCGGAAGCCGGAUGCAGCAACGCCGCGUGCGGGAUGACGGCCUUCGGGUUGUAAACCGCUUUCGCCUGUGACGAAGCGUGAGGGACGGUAAUGGGUAAAGAAGCACCGGCUAACUACGU